rnacentral:rRNA from 1 species
UCAAAGAUUAAGCCAUGCAUGUCUCAGUAUAAGCAACUUGUACGUGUGAAACUGCGAAUGGCUCAUUAAAUCAGUUAUAAUUUAUUUGAUAGUGAUUUACUACAUGGAUAGCCGUAGUAAUUCUAGAGCUAAUACAUGCACAAUAGACCCGACUCGUGAGGGAAGGGUUGUGUUUAUUAGAUCAAAAACCAACGAUUAGGAAAGGGGAGAGGAGGAAACUGUUAAAAAAUAGGUAAAUAGGGUAAAACCUAUUUAUUGAUUUUCUAAUUUUCUUUCUUUCUUUCCCAUAAACUUUCUUAAAAAAAAAUUUGGUGAAUCAUGAUAAAUGUCGAAUCAUUCAUUAAGAAUGAUGUGUCAUUCAAAUUUCUGCCCUAUCAACUUGUUGGUAGGAUCGGGGCCUACCACGGUAUUGACGGGUAACGGAGGAUUAGGGUUCGAUUCCGGAGAGGGAGCCUGAGAGAUGGCUACUACUUCUAAGGAAGGCAGCAGGCGCGCAAAUUACCCAAUCCCAAUAAUAUUUGGGGAGGUAGUGACAAAAAAUACGGAUGCUGGCUUUUUUUAUAAAGGUCGGUAAUUGGAAUGGGGUGGAUGUAAAUUGUCCACCGAGCAGCCAUUAGAGGGCAAGUCUGGUGCCAGCAGCCGCGGUAAUUCCAGCUCUAAUAGUGUAUACUAAAAUUGCUGCAGUUAAAAAGCUCGUAGUUGGAUUUAGGAUGGGACUUUAUAUCUUCGUGUUUUUUGCCGAUUAUUGUUUCGGAAGAACGAUACGUAACUUCUUUGAAAAGACUAUUGUUAUUUCUGCAAUUGAUUGGUCGCGAAGGUUGUUCCGUCCAUGAAUAUUUUCGGGAAUAUGUAAUCCCCUUUAUUGGGCUGGUUAGAUAAGUUCGGAGGAUUUACUUUGAAGAAAUUGUAGUGUUCAAAGCAGGCGUUUCGCAGCUGAACACAUUAGCAUGGAAUAAUAAAAUAGGACAUCCGAGUAUUUAAUUCCCGCCCUAUGAGCUACGCAUCGACUUCUUCGGAAGAAGAGGAAAUUUUAUUCAAAGGGAAGGAAAUAAAUCACAAUCUUUCGAAAGAGAGGUUGGCUUGUUUAUCCCUUUCUUGAGAAUAUUUUUUCUCUUCGAAAGAAACGCGAUGCGAUUUUUGAGACGUGGGGAGAUGGGGGUUGUACACUUGUAAGAAAGUUCCAUUUUGUUGGUAAUAUGGAGAGGGUGUAAUGAUUAAUAGGGACGGUUGGGGGCAUCCGUAUUGCAUUGUCAGAGGUGAAAUUCUUGGAUUUAUGCAAGACGAACUAGUGCGAAAGCAUUUGCCAAGGAUGUUUUCAUUAAUCAAGAACGAAAGUUAGGGGAUCGAAGGCGAUCAGAAACCGCCGUAGUCUUAACUAUAAACGAUACCAACUAGGGAUUGGGGAGUUGUUUAAAAAAGAACCUCGUCAGCACCUUUAGAGAAAUCAAAGUCUCUGGGUUCUGGGGGGAGUAUGGUCGCAAGGCUGAAACUUAAAGAAAUUGACGGAAGGGCACCACCAGGUGUGGAGCCUGCGGCUUAAUUCGACUCAACACGGGGAAACUCACCAGGUCCAGACACGGGAAGGAUUGACAGAUUGAUAGCUCUUUCUUGAUUCUGUGGGUGGUGGUGCAUGGUCGUUCUUAGUUGGUGGAGUGAUUUGUCUGGUUAAUUCCGAUAACGAACGAGACCUUAACCUGCUAACUAGCUCGGCGUUUUUUAGACAAAAACGUUUUACAUUUUUCUCUUUGGAGAAAGAAAGUGAGUGAGCUUCUUAGAGGGACUACCAUGGUUGCACAUGGUGGAAGCUUGAGGCAAUAACAGGUCUGUGAUGCCCUUAGAUGUCCUGGGCCGCACGCGCGCUACAAUGAUGCAGUCAAUGAGUUUGUGCUUUGCUCGGAAGAGUUGGCUAAUCUUAGCAAACUGCAUCGUGCUGGGGAUUGAUCUUUGUAAUUUUGGAUCAUGAACCAGGAAUACCUAGUAAGUGCAAGUCAUCAGCUUGCGCUGAUUACGUCCCUGCCCUUUGUACACACCGCCCGUCGCUCCUACCGAUUGAAUGAUCAGAUGAAACGCUCGGAUUUGUGGGAUGUUGAAGAAAUUUAACGUCCUGUGGAGAAGAGUGGUAAAUCUUAUUAUUUAGA